GACGAACGCUGGCGGCGUGCUUAACACAUGCAAGUCGAACGGAAAGGCCCUGCUUUUGUGGGGUGCUCGAGUGGCGAACGGGUGAGUAACACGUGAGUAACCUGCCCUUGACUUUGGGAUAACUUCAGGAAACUGGGGCUAAUACCGGAUAGGAGCUCCUGCUGCAUGGUGGGGGUUGGAAAGUUUCGGCGGUUGGGGAUGGACUCGCGGCUUAUCAGCUUGUUGGUGGGGUAGUGGCUUACCAAGGCUUUGACGGGUAGCCGGCAUGAGAGGGUGACCGGCCACAUGGGGACUGAGAGACGGCCCAGACGCCUACGGGAGGCAGCAGUGGGGAAUAUUGCACAAUGGGCGGAAGCCUGAUGCAGCAACGCCGCGUGCGGGAUGACGGCCUUCGGGUUGUAAACCGCUUUCGCCUGUGACGAAGCGUGAGUGACGGUAAUGGGUAAAGAAGCACCGGCUAACUACGUG
rnacentral:rRNA from 1 species